GACUCGGUUGGGCGGUCCGCUUAACGGCGUGUACUGUCUGACUGGGCCUUACCUCUUGGUGAGCCAGUGUGCCCUUUAUUGGUGUGCAUUGGGGAACCAGGACUUUUACCUUGAAAAAAUUAGAGUGUUUAAAGCAGGCCUACGCUUGAAUACAUUAGCAUGGAAUAAUAGAAUAGGACU
rnacentral:rRNA from 1 species